rnacentral:miRNA from 1 species
ACGAUAAAUAUCAGACCCA